rnacentral:lncRNA from 1 species
UGUCUCAAGAGAAAAAGUCACGGAGCUGCACCACUUGCUCUGCUUUUGGAGCAAGGACUAAGAGUGCAGGUGGGAUACAAGGUGGUCGAGAGAUGAUAAAUUGAAUAAAAAUUCUUGCAAGUGAGACUCACGUAAGUUAACGUGGCACUAAAUUGCUAGCAGUUGACUCUUUCCAUUGAGGACGCGGUGAGUAUUCGCUAUUGUUUUUUUUCUUCUCUACCAUCAUCAUCCUUGAUUACAUUAAUUGUCUCCCCUCUCUUGGAUCUUUCUUGUUGUCAUUUUGUCUCUAGACCUCUCUCCUUUGAUGUUUCCUCCUCUAAAUAGGCGUCAGCAGGUGCCCAUUGGAUCUCGGAUAUUCUUUAAAGGCAAUGUAAUUGUCGUUUGUCAUACUCGACUCGGAAGGUCACUAGGUGGAUGGUGGUGUUAGCCGUGAACAACGAUAUGUCCUUGUCAUGUGAGAUUUUUUUCCCCCUCCUAGUGUGGUGUGGUUGUCCUCCACUAGUCCACUCUCUCGUUUGCUUUAUAGGACGUUGUAUCCUUUUGAAUAGCAAUUCAUACUGAUCACACUGGCUUGACAAAAGACAAGGAAGAUGCUUGUGUGGUCAAAAGAAGCAAGGCAGGGCACCAACUUGCCAGUCAAGUUUGGUUUUUGCUUGGGGGCCUCUCGGUCGCGAACACGCAUGGUUUGACUGCGCUCCAAAUUGUACACGUGCGAACAGUAUAUCUUGUUCCGUUGUUGAGCAUUCUUGUGUCUGACAGCUACUACAACGUCUCUCUCUCUCUCUCUCUCUCUCUGACUUUUACUAGUGAGUGAGGAGUUUCACUGAAAAGGAUAACGCAUGCAGUUGCGUCAGAUUAUCAAGGUAGAGUAGGUCGGACAACUGAUUAUUAUUAAAUAAUUAAGAAGGUGGUCACCAUAAUUUCUUGCAAUUAUUUAUACCAUUAGGAUACAACCAGAAUCCGGUUCUUAGUCCGGCAUCUUACAUGCUACCACUACUCCUCCGAUCUAACAGAACUUAACGGUAUGGACACCGGAGAAAUGUUGAGCCGCUGCAGCAAUUCCGGCCGCCCCAUCACUCCGUGUGCGCCUAUCGGAGUCCGCUGAUGCGGUAGUAGCAGAGCAAAACCACAAUAACCACGACGCCACGGACGACCAGAAAUCGGCUCCGGAUUCCAUCUUCAUUCUCGCUUCCCACCCAACGGGCCGCCGAGUGGACCAACUUGGGUUUGAUUUGUUUUUGGUCAAGUGUCUGUGAGCUCACGAUGUGUACUAGCUUAUGGCCACGGAAGGACUCGCGCGCUCGAUUGUGUGCAGCUACAAAACCACUACUACAAUAUAUACCAAGGACGGACGACUGUUCUUGUUUGGUCUUGGAGUGAGGUCACUCGUGUGACCUUUACCGCAUGACACGUAGUAUGCUAGCAAAGCAAGCACUGCACGGCAAACCAUGACGCUGCUUUUGCUUUACUAUUUCCUGGUCGACAGGGAAAGCAACGAACUUGGUCGCCAAG